UACAGAGGGUGCAAGCGUUGUUCGGAAUUAUUGGGCGUAAAGCGCGCGCAGGCGGUUAUUUAAGUCUGGUGUUUAAACCUUGGGCUCAACCUGGGGUCGCACUGGAAACUGGGUAACUUGAGUACAGAAGAGGAAAGUGGAAUUCCACGUGUAGCGGUGAAAUGCGUAGAGAUGUGGAGGAACACCAAUGGCGAAGGCAGCUCGCUGGGACGGUACUGACGCUGAGACGCGAAAGCGUGGGGAGCAAACAGG
rnacentral:rRNA from 1 species